UUUAUUUGCAAGAAGGCACACAAACAUGAGGAUACAAGCAGAAAACAGUCUAAAACUGAACUUAGAUAAAAUUAUUGCUGCAUUGGGGACAUUAAUAUGUCAUGAAUUCCUCAGGUAUGCAACAGUCAAGAGCAGACAAACAGAGUAAUAAUAAUAGUAAUAGAGUAACAAUUAGUGGAGAGGAAAUAAAGUUGCAAAACCAUUGUAGGAACGUAAGAAUAUCUGCACAGAUAAACCAUUUUUACAAGCAAAAAGUUUCUCUGCCAUGGCCCUUUCUUUUGAAUUACACUGAUAGCAGAUUCACAUCUCCCUCACCCUUUUCCUCCUAAUCAUCUUGUUUCACUACAGUUAAGGACAUAUUUGAAAGAAAUGCUUCUCCUGACAUGAAAGUAAGCCAAUUUUAUAGAAUUUCUGUCUCCAGGAGAAAAAAGCAGCUGUCCAGAGUGCACUCCACAGUCCUUUUGGGAGAAAAGAUUUUAGAGAGAAGAGAGUUAGUCCACAUCACACCCAGUGAAGAAGGGGCAGAAGUCCAAUACUUGAUCAUGGAAUCAUUUACUCUUCCUUGGUCUCACUGUCACUUAUAUCAGAAAUACCAGUCCCAUGUGAAAACAGGAAAAAAUGUCCACAAAGCCUCCCCCACAGGAUGAGUGGUAAGAAAAAAAUGAGUAAUCAAUUAAAACACUGUAGAAAGUGCAAGACGUGAUCGGACAAACCAGGGUGCAAGGGCUGUAAACCACAGGAAAGAACAUUCUUAAGGGUGUGGAGAUAUGCAAGGGCAACAAGCCCUGUUCGGAAUACCCCCAGAUACCUUCAGGUUUGUCAGACUGCAUUUCACAAGGCUGAAAACCUGAAUUUACAGAUUACAAGAAUUUCAGAAUAGUUUGGCAUGUUCCUGUGGAGCUCCCUCAGCCCAGGCCGUGCCCAGCUGGGGCUGCCAUGGCUCCACACAGGGACACUCCAGGCCCUCCCUGGGCAGCUGUUCCAGGCCUCUGCCCCUCCAUGGACACAAGUUCUUCCUCCUGCCGGGCUGCCGCUCGCUGCCCUUUAUUUUAUUCUCGGCAGCGCCCGGCAGAGCCCGGCCCCAUCCUCUGGCAGCCCUCGGAGAUGUUUGUGUGGAUCCACGGGAUCCCCUCUGGGCCUUCCCUUCUCCGGCCUGGCCGGGCCCGGCUCCCGCAGCCUCUGGAGCCGCUGCAGAGCCCAAAUGCUGUGUGCGGCCUCCCCUGGGCCCUGGGCGGCAGCUCCUGGGCUCUGCUGGCCUGAGGAGCCCGGGGCUGGAGGCAGCGCUGCACAGGAGCCUCAGCUGGCCGGGGCAGAGGGGCAGGAUCCCCUCCCUCACCUCUGCCCGUUCCCUCACACAGGCUCCCCGGGUUGUUCUCUUUAUUCAAUUCUAAAAAUCUUCAAUUGGCAGGUCGAUAUAAAGUUAUACAAAUAUUAGUGAUGUGGAUUCAUUUCCACGGUCAUCAAAAUUUGAAUGAGAACAAUACCCAUUUUCCAAGAAGCUGCAGUCUAUUUCAGGUCUUUUAUCUUCUGCCAAAACUUUUAAUCAAUUCCCAUCCAGGAAGAAUGAAUCAAUUUACAUCCAGGAAGAAUUUAGAAAUUCUGCAUUGCUCCUGAGAUCAUUGCAUGAUGAGUAGAAUAAUAAAUGCAAGGAGCUGCUGAAGAAUCAGCUUUUACUGAAUGAGGAGAUGCUCUGCUUAGUGAAAAAACAUCCACCACUGCCUUGUGGCAUAAAGAAAAAUAUCCACUUUUAAAGCAGAAAACAGCAUGGAAUCAUUUAUUACAUCACAAGACAAAGAUACUUUGCAGCUGAACAGGAAAGAGGCAUCAACUCAGACUUUACCAAAAGAUAGAAAAAUUGAAAAACACUGACAAGCAGAAAACACUUUCUUCCAGGGACAGAACAAGUUAAAAAUCUUCCUCAAUGAAUAAAUUUGGUUAUUUGAGUAAGCCUUAGCUUUAGACUUAUAUUUAAAAACCAUUAAAAUAAUCUCUAAAAUUUAC